CUUGCUGCGGGUACUCGAGUGGCGAACGGGUGAGUAACACGUGGGUGAUCUGCCUUGCACUUCGGGAUAAGCUUGGGAAACUGGGUCUAAUACCGGAUAGGACAGCUGUUUAGUGUCAGUUGUGGAAAGUUUUUUCGGUGCAAGAUGAGCUCGCGGCCUAUCAGCUUGUUGGUGGGGUAAUGGCCUACCAAGGCGUCGACGGGUAGCCGGCCUGAGAGGGUGUACGGCCACAUUGGGACUGAGAUACGGCCCAGACUCCUACGGGAGGCAGCAGUGGGGAAUAUUGCACAAUGGGCGGAAGCCUGAUGCAGCGACGCCGCGUGGGGGAUGAAGGCCUUCGGGUUGUAAACUCCUUUCGACAGGGACGAAGCGUAAGUGACGGUACCUGUAUAAGAAGCACCGGCUAACUACGUGCCAGCAGCCGCGGUAAUACGUAGGGUGCGAGCGUUGUCCGGAAUUACUGGGCGUAAAGAGCUCGUAGGUGGUUUGUCGCGUCGUCUGUGAAAUUCCGGGGCUUAACUCCGGGCGUGCAGGCGAUACGGGCUGACUUGAGUGCUGUAGGGGAGACUGGAAUUCCUGGUGUAGCGGUGAAAUGCGCAGAUAUCAGGAGGAACACCGAUGGCGAAGGCAGGUCUCUGGGCAGUAACUGACGCUGAGGAGCGAAAGCAUGGGUAGCGAACAGGAUUAGAUACCUGGUAGUCCAUGCCGUAAACGGUGGGCGCUAGGUGUAGGGGGCUUCCACGUCUUCUGUGCCGUAGCUAACGCAUUAAGCGCCCCGCCUGGGGAGUACGCCGCAA
rnacentral:rRNA from 1 species